CUCCACCCCACCAGGCCACACCCCGCCACACCCCGCCCUGGCCCUGAGGCUCCACCGAAGCCGCGCCCAGAGGCUCAGUCUUUGCAGGGAUUCAAAGCCUUCGCGGUGUUUAAUUUGGUGGCAGGCUCCAGUAAGCUAAGACCAGAAGCUCUGGAGCUUGGGGUCGAUGCUCUUGUUCUGGGAGUGUUUGUGGUGACAGGUUGGGGCCUCGACAGCAAGGUUGGCCUCUAUCCCACGAGGACGAGGACUAGGAUGCGGGGUCCGAACACCACGCAGCCAGGCUGAGCAGCGGAGGGAGACGGCUGCACCCAGAGGAAGCCCUCCCUGGCCUGCAGGAGACUGGACUUCCCCGGCCGGCGGCAGCCUCGCGCCUUCGGCCGCGUUCUGAGGCUGCCCCGCCUGCCCGGAACGGGCCCUCCCGGCUUCCUGCGGCCUCGAACUUCCCGGCCCCGAAAGGACCAGGCCCUGUUUUGCGCCCUACUCGCCCUCCUAGGCCAUGCUUCCCACCCAGCAGCCUCAGACACGGGGACGCUCACUUCCCGCCCAAACUUUCCUUGCCAGCUGGAGUUUGGCGGGAGGACGAGACCUGAGUUCAGACAGCCCCUGCAAGUCCAGAUUCUGCUUUGGGAUGGGGAUUAACUUUAAAACCAAAAAGCCAGCCUCCUUUGGGGUGAAGACAGUUGCAGAGUUUAUAGUCUCUGCACACUCUUCAAACCUCACCCACAGCAGUCCCCAGUCACAGUCACAACACCUAGACUCCCCCAGAAAUCUCAUGGCCUCCCCUAACUUGUAGCCCCGCAGGGUGACUCCAGCGCUUUGCUCCUCUCAAAGUCUCACUUGCUCUAGGUAAAUGGCCUCAGAUUAUCAGGGACCCACUGGCAAACUCGUUCUUACCCAUGGGUCAAGGAAGAGCCCUGGGAACUGUACCAGAAUCAAAGUCUGAAGAGGGAAAAGCAGCUCUUCCUAGGUAGGACACAGGACCGGUUCCUCGGCGGCAUUGGGCGGGUGAGUCAGAGGAGUUGAGCGCUCAGGAGCAGCCUCAGGCCACACCAGGUUUCAAUGGCCUAGACCUGCCCACAGGAUGUGACCAUUGUUGAUACCUUGUGUCCAGGAGCUCAGAUUUUCCUAUGAGGGCAAGACUUUGGAGCGCGAGAGGGGGUGCCUCUGCCCUCUACGUCUUACUCCUUACAUUGGACUCCAGGAGAGAGAGAGAGAGCAGGACUUGUCCUGUCAGACCUGGGCACAGGCCUCACCCAGAGUCUCCCUUGAUCUGGGAGCUUUGCUUCCAUGAAGAAAGGGUGCUGGACCUGUGAACUGGGGAUCCCAGCAAAAAAAGCAGCUGCACUUAGACUAUCGCACUCUCACCCACCUUAUGGAGCCCCAGGCCUACAACCUGGCCAUGCAAACCCGGGUGCCCUCCGACUUGCCAGAAUGCGAGAACACAGCCGGAGAGACCCUGAUGCCCAAGCCCAGAUGCCCAAACCCUUGGCGCUGGUGGGGGGGGGGUCGCUGCACCCCACACAUGUUUACAUCGGUGCCCCCUUAUCUUAUAUGUAACAGCAAUAUAUAUGUUAAUUGAAAACUUCUGAAUUUAAAAAGGUUGUGACAAGUU
ensembl:lncRNA